rnacentral:ncRNA from 2 species
ACCACCCACGCGGGAGAGACCGCCCAGCAGCACCCGGGCGGCGCCGAAGGGGCAGAUUCCUCCCCGGAACCUCUCAGGCAAAAGGACCUCGUGGGCAGG